rnacentral:rRNA from 1 species
UACGUAGGGGGCAAGCGUUGUCCGGAAUCAUUGGGCGUAAAGAGCGCGUAGGCGGUCCGGUAAGUCCGCUCUGAAAGUCCGGGGCUCAACCCCAGGAGGCGGGCGGAUACUGCCGGGCUAGAGUCCGGAAGAGGCGAGUGGAAUUCCUGGUGUAGCGGUGAAAUGCGCAGAUAUCAGGAGGAACACCGAUGGCGAAGGCAGCUCGCUGGGACGGUACUGACGCUGAGGUGCGAAAGCGUGGGGAGCAAACAGG